ensembl:lncRNA
GAUUUUACUCAGCUCUUAUAUAUUUCAGCAAACAAUGUUGACAUCAGUGUCUUAAAAGGUCACACUGACUAAGAAAGAAACAAUGAAUAAAGAAUACCUCUGCAGAAAAUAAAAAUCACAGGAUGUUUGUAGCAAAGAAAAAGAAAAAAAAAAGAAUCACGCUGGUAGCACUGAAACUGGGCCAUCUGGAGUUGAGUGCUGCAUUGCCCUCCCAACCACUUGCUUGAGGCUUAUAAACAUCAUAAUCAGAAAAGCAUGCUUCAAGAGGGAAUAGAAACUGCCCCAGGUAACCAUGCCACUGUUAAACCAUGAUGAUUUAGACCUCUGAAGUAAAUAGGCCACAGCUAUUACAAGCUGAAGAAAUUAGGAUAAGAUAAGGAGUUAGCAUUAUGCUACAACAGACUUCUGAGAUGUCUCCAUAACUCUUGGCAAGCAAUCACCGACUUCUCCCCUCAAGGUGCAUAAAGAACAAGAGCUACAGCUGCAAUGAAUUGUCCUACAAAACGAAUUGAGGGGAAAGAGGGGGCAACGUAGGUGCUUGACUUUCAAAGAUGUAUUUCAACAGGGAGGAAAUUCCAUGCAUUCAACACACAAAUUACUCAUGUGAUCAAAGUAUGCGAUCUUCUUCUGAAAUAAGUCAGAUCAAAAUUUUUGCUCAGACCUCACUGAAUGCCUUCAGUUACACUACAGGUCUUCAAUGAUCAAACAGAAAUAAGAACAAGAGGCAUCAACGAAUUAAAGAAAAUCACUGAGUUUUCCAGAGGAUUUGCCUUUGAGGAGAGCCUGCUAAUCUCAGUGGAUCGAAUUCAGCUCCGUUCUUCACCUCAACAGCAGAUCUGGCGGCACACGCUCAGAGUCUUCCUUCAGGUGCUCCUCCUUCCGACCUGCGGGCAAAGCGCUUCCCGAGCCCCUGGGAG